GCUUACAGCCAUAAGACCUGAGCACACCUGAUCUCAUCAAUCUGAUCUCAGGGGCUGGGCAGCGUCAGGCCUGGUUAGUACCUGAAUGGGACCCCACCUCAGAAACCAGGUGCUGUAAGGU
rnacentral:rRNA from 1 species